AUUGAACGCUGGCGGCAUGCUUUACACAUGCAAGUCGAGCGGCAGCGCGGGGCAACCUGGCGGCGAGCGGCGAACGGGUGAGUAAUGCAUCGGAACGUGCCCAGUAGUGGGGGAUAGCCCGGCGAAAGCCGGAUUAAUACCGCAUACGACCUUAGGGUGAAAGCGGGGGAUCGCAAGACCUCGCGCUAUUGGAGCGGCCGAUGUCAGAUUAGGUAGUUGGUGGGGUAAAGGCCUACCAAGCCGACGAUCUGUAGCUGGUCUGAGAGGACGACCAGCCACACUGGGACUGAGACACGGCCCAGACUCCUACGGGAGGCAGCAGUGGGGAAUUUUGGACAAUGGGCGCAAGCCUGAUCCAGCCAUGCCGCGUGCGGGAAGAAGGCCUUCGGGUUGUAAACCGCUUUUGUCAGGGAAGAAAUCUUCUGGGCUAAUACCCUGGGAGGAUGACGGUACCUGAAGAAUAAGCACCGGCUAACUACGUGCCAGCAGCCGCGGUAAUACGUAGGGUGC
rnacentral:rRNA from 1 species